CAAUUAUGUCCACCAAACCCUCCACACCUAAAAUAGCUAAACUCACACAAUACCUCUUUAACCCUUAAAGGACCACAAUAGUGCCAGGAAAAUAUACUCGUUUUCCUGGCACUAUAGUGCCCUGAGGGUGCCCCCACCCUCAGGGACCCCCUCCCGCCCAGCUCUGGAAAGGGGUUAAAACUUACCUUUUUCCAGCGCUGGGCGGAGAGCUCUCCUCCUCCGAUCCUCCUCUUCUCCUCCC